rnacentral:rRNA from 1 species
UGGGGAAUAUUGGACAAUGGGCGCAAGCCUGAUCCAGCCAUGCCGCGUGAGUGAUGAAGGCCUUAGGGUUGUAAAGCUCUUUUGUCCGGGAAGAUAAUGACUGUACCGGAAGAAUAAGCCCCGGCUAACUUCGUGCCAGCAGCCGCGGUAAUACGAAGGGGGCUAGCGUUGCUCGGAAUCACUGGGCGUAAAGGGCGCGUAGGCGGACUUUUAAGUCGGAGGUGAAAGCCCAGGGCUCAACCCUGGAAUUGCCUUCGAUACUGGGAGUCUUGAGUUCGGAAGAGGUUGGUGGAACUGCGAGUGUAGAGGAGAAAUUCGUAGAUAUUCGCAAGAACACCGGUGGCGAAGGCGGCCAACUGGUCCGAAACUGACGCUGAGGCGCGAAAGCGUGGGGAGCAAACAGG